GACGAACGCUGGCGGCGUGCUUAACACAUGCAAGUCGAACGAAAAGAGGGAAAGAGCUUGCUCUUUCCGGAAUUGAGUGGCAAACGGGUGAGUAACACGUAAACAACCUGCCUUCAGGAUGGGGACAACAGACGGAAACGACUGCUAAUACCGAAUAAGUUCCAAGAGCCGCAUGGCCCAUGGAAGAAAAGGUGGCCUCUACCUGUAAGCUAUCGCCUGAAGAGGGGUUUGCGUCUGAUUAGCUGGUUGGAGGGGUAACGGCCCACCAAGGCGACGAUCAGUAGCCGGUCUGAGAGGAUGAACGGCCACACUGGAACUGAGACACGGUCCAGACUCCUACGGGAGGCAGCAGUGGGGAAUCUUCCGCAAUGGGCGAAAGCCUGACGGAGCAACGCCGCGUGAGUGAUGACGGCCUUCGGGUUGUAAAACUCUGUGAUCCGGGACGAAAAGGCAGAGUGCGAAGAACAAACUGAAUUGACGGUACCGGAAAAGCAAGCCACGGCUAACUACGUG
rnacentral:rRNA from 1 species